rnacentral:tRNA from 1 species
GGGUUACUUGCUUAAUUGGAAAAGUAUUUCCUUGUCGAGGAAAGGGAUAUGGGUUCGAAUCCCAUGUAACCCG